rnacentral:rRNA from 1 species
AUGGAGCGCAGCGCGGAGCGGCGCGCGCGGACGCACCAGUCGGUGCUGGCGGCGGGCAGCGGGUCGUUAUCCCCGUCGGUGGCCCCCGAGGACAUGCUCCGGAAGCAGCGCCUGCUGGCCAGCCCGGCCAUGAAGCAGGUCGUGCUCUUCCACCAGCCGGCCAAGCCCGGCGACGCCUUCGACCAGGUGCUCAACGGGCUCGCCCGCAAGCUGCCGCACCGGGCAGAAGGUGCUCGACUGGAACGCCGGCCUCGACAGCGACCUCAAGUCGUGGUAGUGUGUAAACUGCAACAUAUCUUCUAUGCAUUCGGAGAAAUGGUUAACCCCAAUGCAUGGACUGCAAUCUACAUCAUCCGCCAAAUGACGUACAUCCAGGCCCCUAAAGUGUCAAUCUGUGAUUACCUGUCUAAAAGGCAUGAACAAAGCUUGAUUGCUUGA